AGAGUUUGAUCCUGGCUCAGAACGAACGCUGGCGGCGUGGAUUAGGCAUGCAAGUCGUACGAUCCUUCGGGAGAGUGGCGUAAGGGUGAGGAACACGUGGGUAAUCUACCUUCAACUUGGGAAUACCCUCGCGAAAGCGUGGUUAAUACCGAAUAAUGAUUUUUUUAUGCAUAUAAGAAUAUCUAAAGCUCUUCGGAGCGGUUGUUGAGGAACCCGCGUCCUAUCAGCUAGUUGGUGGGGUAACGGCCUACCAAGGCGACGACGGGUAGCUGGUCUGAGAGGAUGAUCAGCCACACUGGGACUGAGACACUGCCCGGACUCCUACGGGAGGCUGCAGUCAGAAUCUUCCCCAAUGGGCGAAAGCCUGAGGGAGCGACGCCGCGUGAGGGAUGAAGGCCUUCGGGUUGUAAACCUCUGUCACCCCAGAUGAAAACAAUGACAGUAUGGGGAGAGGAAGCUCCGGCUAACUACGUGCCAGCAGCCGCGGUAAUACGUAGGGAGCAAGCGUUGUUCGGAAUUACUGGGCGUAAAGGGUGUGUAGGUGGAUAUGCAAGCCUUGAGUGAAAUCCUUCGGCUCAACCGAAGAACUGCUCGAGGUACUACAUGUCUUGAGUACAGGGGAAGAGAGCGGAAUUCUCGGUGUAGCGGUGAAAUGCGUAGAUAUCGAGAAGAACGCCAGCGGCGAAGGCGGCUCUCUAUUCUGAUACUGACACUGAAACACGAAAGCUAAGGUAGCGAAUGGGAUUAGAUACCCCAGUAGUCUUAGCCGUAAACGAUGGGCACUUGGUGUAGAUCCUUACGGAUCUGUGCCGUAGCUAACGCGUUAAGUGCCCUGCCUGGGGAGUACGGCCGCAAGGCUAAAACUCAAAGGAAUUGACGGGGACCCGCACAAGCGGUGGAGCAUGUGGUUUAAUACGACACUACGCGUGGAACCUUACCAGGGUUUGACAUGCUGGUGGUACUUCGGUGGAAACAUUGAAGGACCUCUCUGAGGAGCCAGCACAGGUGUUGCAUGGCUGUCGUCAGCUCGUGUCGUGAGAUGUUGGGUUAAGUCCCGCAACGAGCGCAACCCUUAUCUUUAGUUGGUCUGCCUUUGGUAGAUCUCUCUAGGGAAACUGCCCCGUUGAACGGGGAGGAAGGUGGGGACGACGUCAAGUCAUCAUGGCCCUUACGCCCUGGGCUACACACGUGCUACAAUCCCUGCUACAAUGGGCUGCAAUACCGCAAGGUGGAGCUAAUCCUAAAAAGCAGGGCCAGUUCGGAUCGGAGUCUGCAACUCGACUCCGUGAAGUUGGAAUCGCUAGUAAUGGCGCAUCAGCCACGGCGCCGUGAAUACGUUCCCGGGUCUUGUACACACCGCCCGUCACAUCAUCCGAGUUGAUUGCACCCGAAGUCCCCGAAAUAUAUCGAGGCCCACGGUGUGAUUGAUAAGGAGGAUGAAGUCGUAACAAGGUAGCCGUACGGGAACGUGCGGCU
rnacentral:rRNA from 1 species